UGAGAAAGUGCUUAUUCCCUCAGGCUUCAGACAGUGUGUGUAACGGCUCACAGUCCUACAUCCACCUCAAGAGACCUGCUUCUAACAACCUUAAACAAAUGCAGACAAAACCACACAUUACAGAGGUAAGGAAGCAUGGAGGAGCAUCAUUAUGGCCUCUAAGGUGGUUUAGUGUGCACACCUAGUAGAGUUGACCUUAUUGCAAUAUUAAUGUACCUCCUUAUCGUCAUAUUUAUCUUAAUAAUCCACAUGCUAUGAGAAUACUUAUAGAGUAUGUAUCUUGUUGAAAAUGUUUCAGCAGAUAAGGUUCUUAUACCCUGAGGACUCACUGCUCCUGGCUCUCUCAGAGGAGCUUAAGGACUUGGAACUUCACUCAUUGGAAAGAAUUGAGAAGGAUAUUAGAACAGCUCUUGACACCUCCCGCAGAGGGACCAUCCACCAAUCAGAGCUGACCUACCUGUUCCUCAGGUGGAAGGUGCCUCUCAGGUUGCCCACCCUGGCAUCUCUCAUGAAAACCUUCUCUAGCUCCACCCACCCUGAGCAGGUGCUUUAUAAGGAGCUGCUGCAGUUCAUACAGAAAUUGAUUCAAAAUCAGGAGUUACGGGGAGGUAGGCCUGCAGUUUCAUAUGUUACUUUUUCAAGUUACCUCAUACAGCGUUUAUCUCACAUAGCACAAGUACACAAGCACAAGAUACCACACUAGAUAAACUUCAUGUAGUUAGAAACAGUGGUUUCAUGUCUUCCAUGUCAAUCCAUGUCUUUUUUUGGGACUACACAAAAUCCUGAUGUGUCAAAAACACAACAGAUGUUGGCCAGUCCAACCCUACUCUUAAACGUUUUGCCUGAAUAGGGUAUCUGCAGUUAUAGUAAAAUUAAAUAUAGCACCUUUCCAAUUUUUUAAUACC
rnacentral:lncRNA from 1 species